CCUGAUGGCUACUCUUCUCAUCAAUAUAUCCUCACCAUCAGAUGCCUUGAUGGGCAGAGAUUAAUAGGUUUAAUGGCCUCAUCCAUUGCUGGUUUUAAACAAUAUCUUAUAUGUACUCUAUGAUGAAUAUAUACUUUAAAAAAUAAAUCGACACUAAAGGCCCUUGGAUUUAUGUCAAUAGUUGCAAAAGAUCUAGAAUAGACUUGCGGAUAUCUUUCAUUGAAUUCUGUAUGUGAAGUAUUCCAUUUGCCAAAGUAAAUUUGUCUUCAGACCUCU
rnacentral:lncRNA from 1 species